GCCUACACAUGCAAGUCGAACGGUAACUUUUGGUGCUUGCACCGAAAGACGAGUGGCGAACGGGUGCGUAACGCGUAUGCAAUCUACCUUUUACUAGGGAAUAGCCCGGAGAAAUUUGGAUUAAUCCCCUAUAAUAUCAUGAAUUCGCAUGAUUUUAUGAUUAAAGCUUCGGCGGUAAAAGAUGAGCAUGCGUCCUAUUAGUUAGUAGGUGAGGUAACGGCUCACCUAGACUACGAUAGGUAGGGGUCCUGAGAGGGAGAUCCCCCACACUGGUACUGAGACACGGACCAGACUCCUACGGGAGGCAGCAGUGAGGAAUAUUGGACAAUGGACGAAAGUCUGAUCCAGCUAUGCCGCGUGCAGGAUGACGGCCCUAUGGGUUGUAAACUGCUUUUAUACAGGAAGAAAAAAUCCGACGUGUCGGAUCUUGACGGUACUGUAAGAAUAAGGAUCGGCUAACUCCGUGCCAGCAGCCGCGGUAAUACGGAGGAUCCAAGCGUUAUCCGGAAUCAUUGGGUUUAAAGGGUCCGCAGGCGGUUUUUUAAGUCAGAGGUGAAAUCCUACAGCUCAACUGUAGAAUUGCCUUUGAUACUGAAAGACUUGAGUUAUUGUGAAGUGGUUAGAAUGUGUGGUGUAGCGGUGAAAUGCAUAGAUAUCACACAGAAUACCAAUUGCGAAGGCAGAUCACUAACAAUUAACUGACGCUCAGGGACGAAAGCGUGGGUAGCGAACAGGAUUAGAUACCCUGGUAGUCCACGCCGUAAACGAUGGAUACUAGCUGUAUGUCUACCUCAGGUAGAUGUGUGGCCAAGCGAAAGCGAUAAACACACCGCCUGGGGAGUACGACCGCAAGGUUAAAACUCAAA
rnacentral:rRNA from 1 species